UCCGAGUUGACCCCGGCAGUCUCCAAUGAGUCCCCGGCAUUACCCGCUGGCAACAUUGGACGAGGGUUGCGCUCGUUGCGGGACUUAACCCAACAUCUCACGACACGAGCUGACGACAACCAUGCACCACCUGUGCAGGGCCCUUGCGGACCCCCCAUCUCUGGGGGAUUUCCCUGCAUGUCAAGCCUUGGUAAGGUUCUUCGCGUUGCGUCGAAUUAAGCCACAUGCUCCGCCGCUUGUGCGGGCCCCCGUCAAUUCCUUUGAGUUUUAGCCUUGCGGCCGUACUCCCCAGGCGGGGCACUUAGUGCGUUAGCGACGGCACGGGAGGAGUCGACACCUCCCACACCUAGUGCCCAUCGUUUACGGCGUGGACUAC
rnacentral:misc_RNA from 1 species